GCCUGUUGGCACAUACCCAUCAUUGCCCACACUGUGGUCCCAUAGUCACUUAUGCCUAGAAUUGGCAUGACUCGAUUCUACUGGCACCACUUUUCCACCUUUCAUACCACGGCUUCCACAACAUCGUUCAUCUCACCCUUCUCCUUCACCACCCAUUUUUGGUGUUUCACACAUAAUUUUUAUUCAAUUCUCAUUCUUAUUCCUUAAACACAUUCUCAGAUGCCACCCGUUCUCGGUUCAUACGCAAACAUCACAAAUUCAGUUCAAAAUCAAUCAA
rnacentral:lncRNA from 1 species